ACGCUGGCGGCAGGCCUAACACAUGCAAGUCGAGCGGUAGAGAGAAGCUUGCUUCUCUUGAGAGCGGCGGACGGGUGAGUAAUGCCUAGGAAUCUGCCUGGUAGUGGGGGGUAACGCUCGGGAACGGACGCUAAUACCGCAUACGUCCUACGGGAGAAAGCAGGGGACCUUCGGGCCUUGCGCUAUCAGAUGAGCCUAGGUCGGAUUAGCUAGUUGGUGAGGUAAUGGCUCACCAAGGCGACGAUCCGUAACUGGUCUGAGAGGAUGAUCAGUCACACUGGAACUGAGACACGGUCCAGACUCCUACGGGAGGCAGCAGUGGGGAAUAUUGGACAAUGGGCGAAAGCCUGAUCCAGCCAUGCCGCGUGUGUGAAGAAGGUCUUCGGAUUGUAAAGCACUUUAAGUUGGGAGGAAGGGCAGUAAAUUAAUACUUUGCUGUUUUGACGUUACCGACAGAAUAAGCACCGGCUAACUCUGUGCCAGCAGCCGCGGUAAUACAGAGGGUGCAAGCGUUAAUCGGAAUUACUGGGCGUAAAGCGCGCGUAGGUGGUUCGUUAAGUUGGAUGUGAAAUCCCCGGGCUCAACCUGGGAACUGCAUUCAAAACUGUCGAGCUAGAGUAUGGUAGAGGGUGGUGGAAUUUCCUGUGUAGCGGUGAAAUGCGUAGAUAUAGGAAGGAACACCAGUGGCGAAGGCGACCACCUGGACUGAUACUGACACUGAGGUGCGAAAGCGUGGGGAGCAAAC
rnacentral:rRNA from 1 species